rnacentral:lncRNA from 12 species
GGGUAAGCAGCAGAGUAAAGGAGAGCGGUUUAAUUCUGUUGUACAUCUUCCCAAUGCCCUUAAGAUAUCGUUAUAUUAUAUCAUAUUAUAUUAUAAAAUAUAGUGGAUUUUGUCCUUGUGGCAGAUGGACUAAUUCACUCAGUCUCUAGUAAUUUCAUAUUUCAACUGUUUUCCUCUAAACACGUUAUCUAUCUUAUUAUACCUUGAAGUAUCCCUACUCCUUAUAUAGGCACCUAUUUAGCCAUGUGUGUCCUUUUGUAGCUUGGUUGAAGGAAUCUUAGACAUUUUUGCAUUGUAAUGAAAUCUACUUUUCCAGUUGUUCUUUUGAGUGUUAUUUCUUGGACAAUCUAACCACAAACUGCAAUGAAAGGAUUGAUGGUCUUAGCCUUUGUCCUACUUUCCUCUAGGUUGUCAGAAAUGGAAAAGCAUCUUGGAGUGUUUACUUCCUAGAACUCUACUGAAGCUCAAACUCUCAGCUUAGCUCUCCUUGGACUUUACCAUGGGGGAAAUCUACAGAACAAGAGCUGAGAGGUUGAAUCUUCUUUGUACACAUCUUCUAACAAAGCCAUCACAGAUUAUUGCAUCUGUCUUCCCACAAAAACCCCAGGUAUGUUUAAAUAGCAAUCUUGUGUAUUUAACCCUUGUUCUUUGUGCACUUAGUGCCAACCAGACAGACUGUGUUGAUGUGGGAUUAACAUUAAUGCAAAGUAGCAAGAUAGAGUGAGAGAAACUUGUUCAGAGAAAUCUUUAUGUAAAUACAAACAUGUUUUCAUUCAAAGGCCUGGUGGGGGGAAAUGUCUGCAAAGAAGGAAGUCAUAGGGUUUCAAAUUUGGAAGUUUAACCAUUCUGAUUCCAAAUGAUGAUGAUGAUAAUGAAGAAGAGGAAAUAUUUUGUGUGCCAGAUAAGGCGUGGAUUUCUAUCCCCCUCUAACUUUUGAUUUAAAAAUAUAGUACCACUUCAUUUUACAUGAUAUUCCAAGGGGAGUGAGAACUUUUGCCAAAUUGCCAAUUAUUUCUAUGUUUAAUCUUUAGUAUAAGAAGGAUAGGUCCAAAAUCUUUGCUAGCUUGUUUCAUAAAUCACUAUUCAAUGUCA